rnacentral:rRNA from 1 species
UACAGAGGGGGCCAGCGUUAUUCGGAAUUAUUGGGCGUAAAGGGCGCGUAGGCGGCUUUGCGUGUCUUUCGUGAAAUCCCUCGGCUCAACUGAGGACGUGCGGAAGAAACUGCAGGGCUGGAGUCCGGGAGAGGAGGGUGGAAUUCCCAGUGUAGCGGUGAAAUGCGUAGAUAUCAGGAGGAACACCGAUGGCGAAGGCAGCUCGCUGGGACGGUACUGACGCUGAGGCGCGAAAGCGUGGGGAGCGAACAGG